AACAAAAGCAUCACGAUCGUCAAAACCGAUAAGCAGAUCAUGACCGUCCGAUCAUCGAUCUGGUGACGGAAGACCACGAGAGGCUCGUCGCGGAGGAAGUAGAGGAAGAUCCAGAAGACGACCAGGACGGCCAAGACGAGGAGCGAGGUUGGGUGGUAGACGAGGCUCAGGAAGAGGACGAGGAGGACGACGACGGCGUAGUUGGCUCGGAAGUAGACGAGGUUCGUCUUGAUCCUCGAGAUCGCGUCGAAGAAGCCGUGUGGGAGGUUCGUGGAUUGGAGAUCGAACAUCGUUUUCCAUGGGCGGCGCGUGGCGAGACCUGAUUUGAUGCGGUGUUUUGCGCGUGAGAUGUACUCGAGAUCAAUCGGCGGAGAUGGAUGAGAGGACGUCGGGAUCGCGCCGUAGUUCAUUUCGUUUCACGCGGCGUGUGGAGAGAGAGAGAGAGAGGGUUGAAGAGCUACGGAAUGAGAUUUGUUUGUUUUAUCAAUAAAUAAAUAAUACAUUUAUGUAUUUUCUGGAAAAAGAAAAUUAAUGUGUUUUUGCGGCUAGUAGUCCCUAUGUAUUAGGUAAUAGUUCGUAUGUACAUAUAUUAAACAUGUACUAUAUAAAAAUAUUUAAAAUUCUUGUUUUUUAAAGAAAUAUUACUCCCCUGCGUGCUCCCUAAUUUUUUUUCACUUUCUUCCCUAAAUGGCUAGUUUCGGUCCAGCCGCACGCGUUACGCCUAGCGAAUUUUCAAACAUGGAGUAAUACCGUAAUAGUGCAGGCAUCAUACGGAUAAAAAUAAUAAAGUAGAUAACAUACCAAAUAAAUACAUAAUUUCUAUAUGUUACUGUUAAAUACUCCUGCACAGUAAUAUCAUAAUCUAUAUAUUAUUUGAAAAUAUUAUAUUAUUGUGAUGUUUUUGUUAACACUAAUAUAUCUAUUACAAAUUUUGAAACUAUUACAAAAAAUAUAAUCAAUAAAUUUAUUUGUCUUACAACAUUUGCGUAUAACAGUUUUAUUUGUCCCAUUUAAAAAGAACAAACUAUUUGUAUCAUAAUCCUAUUUUUUCACUAAGCAGAAAAUGUUAUGUAUUUUUUAUUAAUUUAUAAACAAUAAUAAAAAUAUUUUUACAUAUCUAAAACUCCAAGUUUCUUAUAUAAAAUGAUAUAAUGAAAUAUUAAUCAAACAGAGCUUUUAGCACUAUAUAUUUUGGUGAUAUUAAUUUUUUUUUUUUUUGAAUGAAUUAAUUUUCAACUAAAAACUAUAAUUGCUAAACAAUCUGUGACGCUCGCCUUUUUCUGUUCAACUGACAACCGGUAUCAUAUUCUAUUUCAUACUUGUAUAAUCUGGGAUUAAAUUCCAUAAGAAUAUUAAUCCAGUCCUUAGUAUAAUUUGAGAUUUGUUUGAUGGUUUUUCCUCAUUCCGAAGUAUACAAAAUCACUAGCCAUCCUUUUACAACAUAAACCAAAUAAAAUCAUCAGUUAUUUUCUGAAGUUGCACAAACACAAAGAUUAUAAGAACUUCUCUUCUUAUUAGAUUUAGAAACUCUCUCAAAACUAAAUCUUUCGAUGUGUUUCUGUUGAUAGAACAUCUCUCCAUGAGAACUCUUUAUAUAGGAAGAAGCUACAUCUUUUCCUAAAGGCGAAGCUACAUAUUUUCCUAAUAAUAAUAUGGAAACAUUACUAAGCUCGAUAUGUUUUCUUUUUUCUUUAACCCAUCAAACUUCACUUUAAUGAGUUAACUUGCUCCUCUGAAGCUUCCGUCGCCGCCGCAGCUUCCUCAUCAAGAUACAAAUUAUCACUCCUCCUAACCGCCGCGUGUACCAAAACCAACACCACAGCCGUCGCCACCGCCCCGAGAACAUUCGCCGUCGCGUGCGUGAACAAAAGCAUCACGAUCGUCAAAACCGAUAAGCAGAUCAUGACCGUCCGAUCAUCGAUCUGGUGACGGAAGACCACGAGAGGCUCGUCGCGGAGGAAGUAGAGGAAGAUCCAGAAGACGACCAGGACGGCCAAGACGAGGAGCGAGGUCGGGUGGUAGACGAGGCUCAGGAAGAGGACGAGGAGGACGACGACGGCGUAGUUGGCUCGGAAGUAGACGAGGUUCGUCUUGAUCCUCGAGAUCGCGUCGAAGAAGCCGUGUGGGAGGUUCGUGGAUUGGAGAUCGAACAUCGUUUUCCAUGGGCGGCGCGUGGCGAGACCUGAUUUGAUGCGGUGUUUUGCGCGUGAGAUGUACUCGAGAUCGAUGGGGGGAGAUGGGUGAGACGACGUCGGGAUCGAGCCGUAGUUCGUCAUUUCGUUUCACGCGGC
rnacentral:lncRNA from 1 species